AUUGAACGCUGGCGGCAGGCCUAACACAUGCAAGUCGAGCGAGCGGCGGACGGGUGAGUAAUGUAUGGGGACUGCCCGAUAGAGGGGGAUAACUACUGGAAACGGUAGCUAAUACCGCAUACUAUCGGAUAACCCAUAUGGGAUUAGCUAGUAGGUGAGGUAAUGGCUAACCUAGGCGACGAUCCCUAGCUGGUCUGAGAGGAUGAUCAGCCACACGGGGACUGAGACACGGCCCAGACUCCUUCGGAGGAGGCAGGGGGGAGUAUUGCACAAUGGGCGCAAGCCUGAUGCAGCCAUGCCGCGUGUAUGAAGAGGGCCCUAGGGUUGUAAAGUACUUUCAGUCGGGAGGCGUUACCGACAGAAGAAGCACCGGCUAACUCCGGGCCAGCAGCCGCGGUAAUAC
rnacentral:rRNA from 1 species